UUUAACUGAAGAGUUUGAUCAUGGCUCAGAUUGAACGCUGGCGGCAGGCUUAACACAUGCAAGUCGAGCGGGGGAAGGUAGCUUGCUACUGGACCUAGCGGCGGACGGGUGAGUAAUGCUUAGGAAUCUGCCUAUUAGUGGGGGACAACAUCUCGAAAGGGAUGCUAAUACCGCAUACGUCCUACGGGAGAAAGCA
rnacentral:rRNA from 1 species